GGGGAACGCGCGGUCAAACCAAAGCAGCUAGCUGCUACUUAUAUAUUAAUUCAAUAUCAAUAACUCUGGCGUCCGUGGUUCUUGUCCCUCGAUAUAUCAAUAUUCCAAACAAAGAAAUUAGCUAGAUAGCUUAUAUUGUUGAGACUUGACUUGAUUGUCAGGAACCAUCGGGUGAGUGAAAAAUUGAUAUGUCAGUGUGGUUGACGACGAAGGAGACCGGGGCGGCCUUGCCCUUGCACUCAGAAAUAGAUCAUGAUGAAAUUCAUCGGACGAGGAGCACUACUGGCCAUGAAGAAAGUGAAUACCGUCAGCCGCAGCAACAGUACCACCGUGAUGAAGAUGAGUACCAGCUGCAAGGCCAGUUUCAGCACGAGUGCAAUAUCUCAAGGAAUAGUGUAUGGGAGAUAGAAGAGGAAGAAGAAGAAGAUGAUGAUGAGGGUUUGAAUUAUUCAAUUGGAGGAUCAAAUACUAGUAUCCCAAUUGAGAUCAAAGAGCUUUUCGGGGCGAAGCGCUACUUUCCCAUGCCUUCCAUCAAGGAAGAACAAUAUGAUAUUAAUGGUCUGCCUCAUUCUUCUUCAUCGUCUGACAUUGUUGACUGCGUUUAUGUUGCCGUCGGAAAGAGCGAGUCAAGCAUGGACGCCUUAAACUACGCCGUCAAGCAGCUGCUGCUGUCAUCCAACACUAUCCUCUAUCUCAUACACAUUUUCCCAGAGAUCAAGUACAUCCCAAGUCCAUUAGGAAAACUUCCAAAAAAUCAAGUGAGCCCAGAACAAGUGGAAAGUUUCAUGGCCCAAGAAUCAGACAAGAGAAGACAGCUCCUUCAGAAGUAUAUUGAUAAAUGCUCGGCUGCAAGGGUUAAGAUGGAUACUCUGCUGAUUGAAAGUGAUAUGAUCGCCAAGGCUAUUGUGGACCUUAUCCCAAUUCUCAACAUCAGAAAACUGGUGCUUGGAACGAAAAAAUCUAAUUUGAGUAGGAAAUUGAUGUCCGGGAAGGGAGCAAGGGGAAUAGCUGAUCAAGUCCUUCAAAGUGCACCCCAAGGUUGUGAGAUUAAUAUCAUUUGUGAAGGAAAUCAAGUGAUGAUUAAUGACUCGCUUUCCCCACGUGGCAUUGCCAAUGAUCGCAUUGCACCAAAUACACUUUCCCCUAAAGGAGGAGGAGGCAAUGAUGAUAACCCUAACUCUAUCCUAGACCGCGAUCAGAGGAAUGAAGCCUGUUCAUUCCUGUGUUUUAAACCCAUGUUCUCCCAAUAGUCUGUUAUUAAUAUAAUAGUUAUUAUGUACACAUAUCAUCAAUAGCGGGGAUAGCUCAGUUGGGAGAGCGUCAGACUGAAGAUCUGAAGGUCAGGUGUUCGAUCCACCUUCACCGCAAAGGAUUUACAACCAAUGAAGAACAAACUCCUUCACCACAGAGCCUUAACACCUGAUCUGGUGCACAACUUGAAAAAAAGGGAAUGAACUGAUUCAUCAUGCCUACACUUCACAGAGAGUUCACGCAAU